rnacentral:rRNA from 1 species
AUUGAACGCUGGCGGCAUGCCUUACACAUGCAAGUCGAACGGCAGCACGGGAGCAAUCCUGGUGGCGAGUGGCGAACGGGUGAGGAAUAUAUCGGAACGUGCCCAGUCGGGGGGGAUAACGCAGCGAAAGCUGUGCUAAUACCGCAUACGACCGAUGGAUGAAAGCGGGGGAUCGCCAGACCUCGCGCGGUUGGAGAGGCCGAUAUCAGAUUAGCUAGUUGGUGGGGGAAAGGCUCACCAAGGGGACGAUCUGUAGCGGGUCUGGGAGGACGACCAGCCACACUGGAACUGAGACACGGUCCAGACUCCUACGGGAGGCAGCAGUGGGGAAUUUUGAACAAUGGGCGAAAGCCUGAUCCAGCAAUGCCGCGUGCAGGAUGAAGGCCUUCGGGUUGUAAACUGCUUUUGUACGGAACGAAACGGUGAGCUCUAAUACAGUUUGCUAAUGACGGUACCGUAAGAAUAAGCACCGGCUAACUACGUGCCAGCCGCCGCCGUAA